GUGGAUCCUGUGAACUGCAGGACACAUGAACACCGACAAGUUGAACGCAUAUUGCACAUCGUACCACAGUACGAUGUACACAUUUUUGAGUGCCUAUAUUUAUCGAUACAACUAUACGUGUGCGUGCGCGUCCCACUGCCGGGUGGACAGGUGCACGGCCCCUGGCACGUAUGCGUAGUGAUGUUUUCCCUCCCGCCCCGGGCUGGUGGGGAAAAGUUUAAAAUAGUCAUCUGCCAGUGUGGCGGGCCAGGUUGAUGAAUAGAUCCCGUACCCCCCUCGGUGGCGGCGUGGCUAUGUUGCAUUGUAUCUUCCACUCUCAUCACACCCAGUACGCCUCAAAUAAUGUGUGACUACCCCCCAAACCCCAAAAUAUCGACAC
rnacentral:rRNA from 1 species